UUCCACAAAAAUGUAUCCUUUUUUGAAAACCUAAUUUUUUAAGCCAAGCAGGGUUGGGCCUGGUUAGUACUUGGAUGUGAGACCACAUGGGAAUACUGUGUGCUGUGGGCU
ensembl:rRNA 5S_rRNA 5S ribosomal RNA